CCCUUAGAUGUUCUGGGCCGCACGCGCGCUACACUGACGAAGUCAGCGAGCAUGUCCUACGCCGACAGGUGCGGGGAAUCUUGUCAAACUUCGUCGUGAUGGGGAUUGAUUAUUGAAAUUCUUGAUCAUCAACGAGGAAUUCCUAGUAAGCGCAAGUCAGCAGCUUGCGUUGAUUACGUCCCUGCCCUUUGUACACACCGCCCGUCGCUACUACCGAUUGAAUGGUUUAGUGAGAUCUUCGGAUUGGUGCCACUGCAGCUCGGCAACGGGCUCGGUGGAUAUCGAGAAGUUGAUCAAACUUGAUCAUUUAGAGGAAGUAAAANUCGUANCA
rnacentral:rRNA from 1 species